AGCGAACGCUGGCGGCAGGCUUAACACAUGCAAGUCGAGCGGGCACCUUCGGGUGUCAGCGGCAGACGGGUGAGUAACACGUGGGAACGUACCCUUCGGUUCGGAAUAACGCUGGGAAACUAGCGCUAAUACCGGAUACGCCCUUAUGGGGAAAGGUUUACUGCCGAAGGAUCGGCCCGCGUCUGAUUAGCUAGUUGGUGGGGUAACGGCCUACCAAGGCGACGAUCAGUAGCUGGUCUGAGAGGAUGAUCAGCCACACUGGGACUGAGACACGGCCCAGACUCCUACGGGAGGCAGCAGUGGGGAAUAUUGGACAAUGGGCGCAAGCCUGAUCCAGCCAUGCCGCGUGAGUGAUGAAGGCCUUAGGGUUGUAAAGCUCUUUUGUCCGGGACGAUAGUGACGGUACCGGAAGAAUAAGCCCCGGCUAACUUCGUG
rnacentral:rRNA from 1 species